AUCGUCACCUUGGCGACGGCCGGUGGGAACACGCCCUGCGGGCUCCGGGGGCGGGGUCUGGGAGCCACGCGCUCCGCCUCCUGCGGGUGCGCCUUCAGCCCUGCCCGCCCCCGCCCCUCCUCGGCUGCACGCGUGGCCGCAGGCCGCCACCUCCAACCAAUCAGACUGGCUCUUCUGUCAUUCGGGUCACCUCCGCUGAGACGCCUUCCCUGACCACCCAAGUUGAAGGAACUGCUAACCUUUUGUCUUGGACUUUGUUUUUUUAUUUCCUUCACAGUAUUUCUCCCCUCUAAAAUUAUCUUGUCUGCUUCUACCUAUAUUGCCUUCCCUCUUGAAACCGAAGUUCCAUAAGCUGAGGCACAAAUUCUGCCUUGUUCGUCUCUGUUCUCAGCACCCUGAACAGAACCUGGCAUGAAUGAGGUGCUCAAUAAAAGUUACUUGGAUGAA